CAGGCCUAACACAUGCAAGUCGAACGCACCUUCGGGUGAGUGGCAGACGGGUGAGUAACACGUGGGAACGUGCCCUUCGGUUCGGAAUAACUCAGGGAAACUUGAGCUAAUACCGGAUACGCCCUUUGGGGGAAAGGUUUACUGCCGAAGGAUCGGCCCGCGGAUGAUUAGCGAGUUGGUGGGGUAAUGGCCUACCAAGGCGACGAUCAUGAGCUGGGAUGAGAGGAUGAUCAGCCACACUGGGACUGAGACACGGCCCAGACGCCUACGGGAGGCAGCAGUGGGGAAGAUUGGACAAUGGGCGAAAGCCUGAUCCAGCCAUGCCGCGUGAGUGAUGAAGGCCUGAGGGUUUAAAGCGAUUUUGGCCGGGAAGAGAAUGACUGGACCGGAAGAAGAAGCCCCGGCGAACUGAGUGCCACUAGCCGCGUGAA
rnacentral:rRNA from 1 species